UGAGCCAACAAACAAAGUAUCAGAGGCAAUACAGAAAAGAAGCAACAUUAACAAUGACUGUAAAAGAUAUAGAAAAUACAACAGUAAUAAUGAUAAUUAAAUCAGUUGAAGAGAAAGUAGGAAUUGGAAAACUGAUCGGACUAAGAAGAAAGAAUAACAAUGAAUUUGAAAUGACUAUGGAGAGUGAGUUGGACUGUGAUUCACUGUUGAAUGGAAUCAUGAUUAACGGAAAAGAAUGUGAGAUAAGGAAACUGUGUGCAACAGAAAGAAUGGUAUCUUUCUUGAGUCUGCCCAGCUAUAUAGAAGAUGAGGAAAUUAUUCAAAAAUUGAUGAAUUGGGGAGUUACUCCCAUAUUGCCUCUAAGAAGGAGAUAUCAUCCGGGGACAACAGUGGCGGACGGAACACGUUUUAUAAAGGUAAAGUUUCCACAAGAAGUGACAUCUUUGCCAUAUAAUACCAGGUUCAUGACUGAAGAAGGAGUGCAGUACUACAGAGUGAUUCAUGACAACCAAAUGAAGACAUGCAGGAUCUGUGUAAGUGUGGAACAUGAGAAAAAGGACUGUCCGCAAUUCAGAUGUCGAGACUGUCUUGAGCAGGGGCAUUAUGCGCGGGACUGCAAAGUCCCACGGUGCCAAGGCUGCGACAAAGCAAUCAUGAGAUGCAGAUGUGAGAUGGACCAUGAGGUAAAUGAGGACACAAAUAUGGAAGUACAGGAGGGGAUGGGAGAUACUGCAACUGAGCAUUUAAAUGAUUCACUGCGGCAGACUCAAGGAGAGGAAGAUGAACAGGACAAUGAGGAAGAGGAGGAAACCAGCAAAGAUGAGAAUGAAGAAAAGAACAAGGAUGGAGAACAAGGAAUGGAGAUGGGAGAAGGAGUAGACAAAGAGGAAAGAAAUCUGAUUAACAAAGACUUUUCUAAGGAAAAGGAAGAAGUGGACACGACUGGGAUGGACUGUGAAAAAGGUCAAGAAAAGGAAAAGGAUGAGGAUAAGGGAAUGAAGAUACUGCCUGAGGUAAGAGAAGCGGAAAAUGGGGGGAGGAUUUUUGGAUUGGAAAAUAAAGGAAUAGAAAGACUGAAUAGAGGUGUUAAAGCAAGAACAAAAGGUGGAGUAGACAUUCAACAGGUUCUUAAAAAGCAGAAAAUAAGAAGAGAAGAGCUGAAGGAAAGGAGGAAAGUGGAAAUGGGGGAAGCAAGACAUGUUUUCUUUAAAGACAAUGAAACUAAUUGAGUGGUGGUUAUUGGUUUAUCCUGUUUUUUCCUUUUUAAUGAGCUCUCUAAGUAUUGUUUCACUUAAUGCUAGAGGCUUAUCCCAAAGUCAAAAGUUUGAGAGAUUGAUGUGUCUGACAAAAAAGUGUGAUGUUUUAUGUCUACAAGAAACGAGGUGGGAAGAUAAAAUAAGUGAUGAAAUUAGAAAAUUGUGGAAUGGAGAAAUGUAUAGUAAUUGUGAUAUAGGAAGGAAAAGAGGGGUAGCUAUUUUAAUAAAAAAAGGGAAUGAGUGUUUUUUAAAUUUCAUCUUAAACAUUGCAAGGUUUGUUAUAUGGAGCAGAAGAAAUAUGGUCAAACAAAAGAAGACAAAAAUACAUGUGUGCAAACUUUUUAGGAUAAAGAUGUGUUUUAUUCUAAAUGUUCUGUUUGAAUACUAUAAUAUGAAAGAUGAAAAAGAAGUGUUUGUAAAAAAUUUUGUAAAAGGGAAUCCAUUCCUUGAAAUGACAUUUUUUCAUUUUAAUGUAUUAUUGCCAAAAUGUGAUUUAGAUUGUUCUUAAAAUGUAUGUUAUUAUGCUUGUAAUAUUGAUUUGAGUCUUCUUUAGGAAAAAAAAAAUGUUAAAAGACUGUU